GCAUUCUGCACAAGUUUGCAUUCCUUGUCAAUAUUUUGUGAUCUACAAAGUGCAACAAACAAUUUUAAUUCCAAGAAUAUAUUAAGUAAAGGAGGUUUUGGCAUUGUGUAUAAAGGUUGUUUGAGAAAUGGCUUGUGUUUCAUAUCCUUGAUAUUAUGAAUUUACAUAAUACAAUCUAAUCUGAAAGAUAGUUUUUUCAGGCUCAAGCGAUAGCGUGCGUGCAUGAGACUUAGAUGGCGGCUUCGGAGGCGGCAACGACAAUGUUAAAAAUAGUUUUUCUCACAAAAUUAAAAUAACUAUCUUGCUUUUCAGGCAUUGCCAGAAAUAGCUCAAAAGAUUACACGGUUGGAGAAUGAGAUACCUUGCUUGAUUCUUCUGGCGAGAAAAUCAUUUAUGAGAUGAUGAGACCAGAGAGGACUUUGUUGUAUUUGGUUCCUGGAAGGCUGGUUAGGGUGAGGGAUGGUUCAACAGACUGGGGAUGGGGUGUGGUGUGGUUGUAAAUCUAUACUACUCCUUAACAAGCUAAGGAGGGCGUCCACAACUCCGUGCCCCCGCCCCCGUCUCUCGCUCGCGACCUCCCGCACGACGCGCCAGGGCAAUCUGGACUUUGCUACAUACUGGUUUUUACAUGCACAAUAAAGCUAGCUGGUAUCACAUUUACUGGUGAUCCUGCUAAGAAUAAGAAAGAUCUAUUUGGUGCUAUUGCAAUGGUAUUGAGAGUUGUAGGAGGCAAGAAUUCACAAUUAUCUUUGCCUACACGCUAUUCUCUGAACACAAUAUUUACGAGCUUGAUAGGUCUAUUUUGGAAUACGAAUUAUGAGUUUGGUAGGUAAAUAAUUUAUACAAUGAUUCUUGGACCUUUGACCCUUUCUGCUUCAAGGAUUAAUGUGUGACUGUGUUUAGCCUUCAAUCCAAGCGACAUGCCACUAAUCUCAAAAAUGCUUCUAUGCAAUAUUUACUUGACAAUUUAUAUCUCUGCUGUUCCUUAGAGAUAUUUUCAUGUAAUAUGUUACAAGGUUGUUCAUGUGAGAUUUUUGGUCAUAAAUUAUAUUAUAUAUGAAGAUAAUGGGAGUCAGCCCUAAAUUCAUAUUAUCUGCAAUCUGCAGUUUCUUGAAAAAAAUGUUUGAUCUACAUCAGAAUUUUCCCAAAAUAUCUAACAGACUUGUUUUCUUCAGGCCAGGAACCCAGGGUCUACACAUCUUAUAACUGAAAAACACAUAAGCAGUAUGCGGUUCACACUUUUUUCUUGUUUGCAUUUUAUAAACCAUUAGACCCU
rnacentral:lncRNA from 1 species